rnacentral:lncRNA from 10 species
AAAGUCAUAUAAUACAUGUGAUUAUUGUGAUUAUUAUUUUUGUGAUGAUAACUACUGGAUCUAGGCCUUUAUGCUAAGGAACAAUAUGUCGCAUUAUCUCAGAAAUAACACAUUUUUACUAUUAAAAAUGUAUUGCCUGACAUUAUAAAUUUCUAAUAUGGUAAACUACUUAAAAUUAUCCAUCAUAAAUUUAUUAAAGACUGAAAAUGUUUGUGAAUUAGGUCAUUUUGCAGAGUCUUAUGCCCUGGAAUGGUUAAUAUUUAUAAGUUAUAAUAAUUUAUAUUUCCCCAAAUAUAAAUUUUAUUGACAAAAUAUGGGUCCUAUUUUUCAUUUGCAACUAUACAACCCAAAGUGAAAAGCACAGGCAUGCUGGGUGUGUUGUUGCCAUGCAUGUCACUAAUUACAAGGCCCAGAGUGCUGAGGAAUAGCAGGGGUUUUACAUCCUUUGUCUGGUGAAGUCUGUCUGCAUGAGAUGGAGUUCAACGAGGUUUUUAGCAUAUUAUUCUCAUUAAACCAUGCAGGAAUUUCAUUUCACAAAUCCAAUUAAUACAAACAGAUGGUUGGUGGCAAAAUCUCUGCCUGUUACACCAAAAUUUUUCAUUUACUUUGCAGAGUGAAAAUUCAGAGCUCACUGAACUUCAGGAUGGAACUAUCCCAGGCAGAGUGAGUCAGGCAAACUGUAGGCACUUUGGGCAAGAAUGCAUAUUCUCUGCCAAGGCAUCACUUAUUUUACAGGGAAAAAACAGUAAAUUUUUAAAGGCAUACACAAAGAACUAUGCUUAUUAAUGUGGGAUAUGACUUUCGUGUGACAAAGCAGAGAAAUAAAAUGCAAACCUCAAAAAUGAAAACACAAGUCACCAGUCUAUUCAGUUUAUGUUAUGAAUAUAACAGGAUGUUCUGCACAAAUUUCAGGUAAGUUAAUAGCUUUUUUCCCCUACAAAAUACAUCUCUAUCAUAACCACAAUGAGCAGAUACAGUACAUCUUCUACCCUGCAAACAUCCUACUGAAUUUGAAAAUUCAGAUAAUAUCAUUAUCCAAUGCUUUUUAUUCUAUACAAGAAUGUCAGUGUUGUAAUCUCAGGUUUUAUUUCAAUGUGCUAUCUUAAUUUUCAAAUAAUACACAAUAUUUGGUUUUUCCAGAGGUGAGAGGUUGAAGAUUAAAAGGGUAUCGGUAAAAAAAAAAAAAAAAAAAGAUAUGGUAUCUGUAUUGUUAUGAAGGCAUUUGCCCUCAAAAUUGCUGUAUCUACAGCAAUUAUGUCAGUGUACUGUCCUGCUAUUUCCAACAUAUUAUUUUCUUAAUUGCCUUGGGAUACCUCAAAAAUAAAAGCCAAUUUUUAAAAAGUAGAU